rnacentral:rRNA from 1 species
CGGAAGGAUCAUUACUGAGUUUACGCUCUACAACCCUUUGUGAACAUACCUAUAACUGUUGCUUCGGCGGGUAGGGUCUCCGCGACCCUCCCGGCCUCCCGCCUCCGGGCGGGUCGGCGCCCGCCGGAGGAUAACCAAACUCUGAUUUAACGACGUUUCUUCUGAGUGGUACAAGCAAAUAAUCAAAACUUUUAACAACGGAUCUCUUGGUUCUGGCAUCGAUGAAGAACGCAGCGAAAUGCGAUAAGUAAUGUGAAUUGCAGAAUUCAGUGAAUCAUCGAAUCUUUGAACGCACAUUGCGCCCGCCAGCAUUCUGGCGGGCAUGCCUGUUCGAGCGUCAUUUCAACCCUCAAGCUCUGCUUGGUGUUGGGGCCCUACAGCUGAUGUAGGCCCUCAAAGGUAGUGGCGGACCCUCUCGGAGCCUCCUUUGCGUAGUAACUUUACGUCUCGCACUGGGAUCCGGAGGGACUCUUGCCGUAAAACCCCCAAUUUUCCAAAGGUUGACCUC